rnacentral:rRNA from 1 species
CAGUAGCCGCGGGAAUACGAGGGGGGCAAGCGUUGUUCGGAAUUAUUGGGCGUAAAGGGUGCGUAGGCGGUUUGGUAAGUCUUGUGUGAAAUCUUCGGGCUCAACCCGAAGCCUGCACGAGAAACUGCCGGGCUUGAGUAUGGGAGAGGUGAGUGGAAUUUCCGGUGUAGCGGUGAAAUGCGUAGAUAUCGGAAGGAACACCUGUGGCGAAAGCGGCUCACUGGACCAUUACUGACGCUGAUGCACGAAAGCUAGGGGAGCAAACAGGAUUAGAUACCCCGGUAGUCCCUGUCUCUUAUAA